GACAUCUUGGUCUAGUGGUAUGAUUCUCGCCUAGAAUGCGAGAGGUCCCGAAAUCGAUCCCCGCUCAGCCCG